UACAGAGGUCUCAAGCGUUGUUCGGAUUCACUGGGCGUAAAGGGUGCGCAGGCGGCCAGGUGUGUCAGGGGUGAAAUCCCGGGGCUUAACCCCGGAAUUGCAUCUGAAACUACAUGGCUAGAGUAUUGGAGAGGGGAGCAGAAUUCACGGUGUAGCAGUGAAAUGCGUAGAUAUCGUGAGGAAUACCAGAGGCGAAGGUGGCUACCUGGACAAUUGCUGACGCUCAGGCACGAAAGCGUGGGGAGCAAAAGGG
rnacentral:rRNA from 1 species